rnacentral:rRNA from 1 species
AUUGAACGCUGGCGGCAUGCCUUACACAUGCAAGUCGAACGGCAGCACGGGUGCUUGCACCUAGUGGCGAGUGGCGAACGGGUGAGUAAUACAUCGGAACGUACCUUAUCGUGGGGGAUAACGCAGCGAAAGCUGUGCUAAUACCGCAUACGCCCUGAGGGGGAAAGCGGGGGAUCGAAAGACCUCGCGCGAUUAGAGCGGCCGAUGCCUGAUUAGCUUGUUGGUGGGGUAAAAGCCCACCAAGGCGACGAUCAGUAGCUGGUCUGAGAGGACGAUCAGCCACACUGGGACGAAGACACGGCCCAGACUCCUACGGGAGGCAGCAGUGGGGAAUUUUGGACAAUGGGGGCAACCCUGAUCCAGCAAUGCCGCGUGAGUGAAGAAGGCCUUCGGGUUGUAAAGCUCUUUUGUCAGGGAAGAAACACCGGCUCUAACACAGUCCGGGAAUGACGGUACCUGAAGAAUAAGCACCGGCUAACUACGUGCCAGCCGCCGCAGUAA